UUUGUAUGUCUUCUUUUGAAAAAUGUUUGUUCAUCGCUUAUAGGCCUUUUGGCUAAGAUCAAGUGAGAAAUGUCUGUUCAGAUCACCUAUCCAUUUUAUAAUGAGAUUGUUUGCUUCCUG
rnacentral:miRNA from 1 species